UUUAUCUAGGGCGAUGAAGCUCGCCGAGGAAGUUCGGAACUUUCCUGAACUGCUUUGAGAAAGCUAAUAGCUUCUACCGGUAU
rnacentral:ncRNA from 2 species